GAUGAAGAACGUAGCGAAAUGCGAUAAGUAAUGUGAAUUGCAGAAUUCAGUGAAUCAUCGAAUCUUUGAACGCACAUUGCGCCCGCCAGUAUUCUGGCGGGCAUGCCUGUUCGAGCGUCAUUACAACCCUCAGGCCCCCGGGCCUGGCGUUGGGGAUCGGCGGAGCCCCCCGUGGGCACACGCCGUCCCCCAAAUGCAGUGGCGUCCCGCCGCAGCUUCCAUCGCGUAGUAGCUAACACCUCGCGACUGGAGAGCGGCGCGGCCACGCCGUAAAACACCCAACUCUUCUGAAGUUGACCUCGAAUCAGGUAGGAAUACCCGCUGAACUUAAGCAUAUCAAUAAGCGGAGGA
rnacentral:misc_RNA from 1 species